GACGAACGCUGGCGGCGUGCUUAACACAUGCAAGUCGAACGGAAAGGCCCUGCUUUUGUUGGGUUCUCGAGUGGCGAACGCGUGAGUAACACGUGAGUAACCUGCCCUUGACUUUGUGAUAACUUCAGGAAACUCGGGCUAAUACCGGAUAUGAUCUCCUGCUGCAUGUUGGGGGUUGGUAAGUGUCGGCGGUUGUGGAUGGAUUCGCGGCUUAUCGGCUAGUUUGUCGGGUAGUGGCUUACGAAGGGUUUGAGGGGUAGCCUGCCUGAGAGGGUGACCGGGGACAAUGGGACUGAGAGAGGGAGCAGACUGCUAUGGGCGGCAGCAGGGGAGAAUUUUGCAGAGUGGGCGGAAGCCAGAUGCAGCAACGUCCGGUGCGGAAUGAUGGGUUUCGGGGGGUAAACAGCUGUGGCAGGUGAUGUGGAGUGAGUGACGGUAAUGGGUAAAGAAGCAACGGCUAACUACGUG
rnacentral:rRNA from 1 species